GUCUCUUUUUUUUAAAGAUUUUUUUUUUUUAAAUUGACUUAUUUGAGAGGUAGAGUUACAGAGAGAUGGGAAACACAGAGAGAAAGGUCUUCCAUCUGCUGGUUCACUCCCUAAAUGUCCACAAUGGCUGGAGCUGGGAGCCAGGAGCUUCUUCCAGGUCUCCCAUGAGGGUGCAGGGGCCCAAGCACUUGGGCCAUCUUCUACUGCUUUCCCAGGCCAUAAGCUCACCCCAGUCUGGUGGAUAUUAAAAACAUCCUGAAGGUGGAUAUGGUGACCUUUUAUGGUUCAUGGAAGAAACUUUGGAGGUGAUAGAAACUUCAGCAAAAGAACAAGUUAUGGUGGUAGCAGUAGUGGCAGUACAGAUAGUUACCAAGGACAUGAUGGUGACAGCCAGGGUGGAUGUGGCUCUGGUUACAGGAGUAGAGGAGGUGGUAAAUCAAGAUGUGGAAACCAGGCUGGAGGAUAUGGUAGCAGUGUUGGAAGAUAUGGUGGCGACAACGAAGGAGACAAAGUUGGCAGUGUUACAAGGGGUCUUCAAAAAAGUUCAUGGAAAACACAUACUAUGAAAAAACUAUGCAUGGAUUUCAAAACAUUUUCUCACCAAAAUAAAUUUACUUAUCAAUUCAAUUUCCCACCAUGUUUUUGAAGUACCUUUAUAGUUAUGGUGGUGCUGGGAAGUAUAAUGAUUGUGGUAAUUAGAGUGGGUAACAGUGACCAAUGUUUAGAACCAUGAAUGGGGUCAGUUUUGGUGGAAGAAGUUCAGGAAAUCCCGACGGUGUGGUAAUGGAUCUGGUGGAAUAGGUUGUGCAUGUGGUACUAGAAGCUUCUACAAACUCAAGAGGAAAGGACUAGGGUUAGUAUUAUGAGAUAAAGUGAGGAUUGUCAGUAAAGCUGCAAAUCACUUUGAGAGACUUGUCCCAACCACAUUAGAGGAACCGCAAACAGCCCACCACCAAAGGACAAGGGAUCAUUCAUAGCCAGAGAAGUUACUACAGCUUCAAACAGGAUAUUCUGGACCAUCACAGCCAUGGUUUACAAAAGGCAGAGCCAUGAAUAACACAAUCUAUUAAAUGUUCACUCCUCAGUUCUCUUAUUUAUAAGGGAUUUUUCUUUUGAUGGCAUCAGGUGCCUUGCCCUGCAAACUGUGGUAGUACUGAUACCAGGAAUGAAAAUAAAGGAGAGGUAUCUUUCAUCCACUGGUUCACUCCCCAAAUGCGUGCAACAAACCAGUGCCAGACAAGGCCAAAGACAGGAGCCUGGAACUCCAUUCAGGUCUCUCGAAUGGGUGGCAGGAGCCCAAUUACUGGGCCAUUAUAUACUGCCUGCCAGGAUGCAUUAGUAAGCACCUGGAUCAUACGCAGAAGGGCAUUCUGAUGAGGGAAGUGGGCAUCCCAAGCAACUGUUUAAUCUGUUGCACCACAAUGUUCACCCCAGAAAUUUUGAAUUUUCAAAAAUGAUGUUACCAUGCUUUGAAAAUAUCAAUAUUGAUAAUUCUCUGGGAUCACAGUGAUUACUUAAACUAGUGAUAAAGAUUUCUAGAUAGCAGCAAGUAAAAAGGGCAAGAGGUAUACAUUACACAAAAUUCUUUGAGUGUAUGAGCAAAGCCAUUUAAAGGCCAGUGCUAAGGAGAGAAGAUCACGGGCUUUGGAGUGAGGACACUUAGAGGCUGUUUCCAAGCCAUGUGUUCCUUGGGCAAGUAACUUUGCCUUGUAGCUCAAUUUUGUCUUCUGUCUGUGCUAUCAUUAAAACUAAUUCAGAAAUAGCACACACUUCAUAGGGAGGAUUAAGUCAGAUAAUACACAUGAAAAAUCCAGAAACAUGGUAGAAACUCCAUAAAUAUUAUCACAUCCUUCUUACAACAAAGUUGCAAGAAGUUAUUGAUUCAUCUGUUCAAUAGUUACUUUUAGCAUCCACGUGUCCUUUGCUAUUUCGGGAUCUGGGAACACUGAAUGAAAAAGGCAAACAAGGCCCCAGGAGGUACAUAAGAGUGAGUACUUGGAUCUGGGUUGCUUAUCUUGAACGCUGUCCCUACUAGCUGUACAGUCAUUGACAAUCCACUGAAUGUUUCUUCGUAAAACGGGGAUAAUCAUAGUAUUUGGAAAGGGUUUGUGUGUUGGAAUGCAAAGGACCGAACACUGCCUGGCACGUGGUAAGCACUCAGUAAAUGGCUGAGAAUAUUUAUAUGCACUUUACAGGUAACAGAACUGAAGUUCAGCGAGGUUAGGUAAACUUCCUAAGUCAAACAGGUAGCAGGGGAGGUAAGACUUUGUCCUCUGGCCCAUCUGACCCCAAGGCCUACACCAUGUGUUUCUGGCAAGCUGAGCAGGCUAUUUCACGGCAGUUUUUCUAGGCCAUUUCCCAUUACCAAAUUCUCUUGGUGGAAGAUGGAGUGUUUUUUUUUUUUUUUUUUUUAAUUUUCAAUGGAAGAAUUAGAGAAAUCCAAGAAUACAACUUAUAAGGCCCCAGGGCUCUUCAUUAUCUCAGAUUUGUAUACUGCCUAGUCUAGUUUCUGUCCUUUUGGGCCAAACAACAUCUCUCAAACCAUCAAACAGGUCAUCUGGAAGGAACUUAAAAUCAGUCUUUGUAAAUACACAGUGCAUGGAGGUGGCCUCUGCCUUGCAGUCAAUGUCAUAGACACUGGUCUUUCAUUUGUUUUUCGUGUUGAGACUGUUCCAUGUUCCAGGGCAGACAGGAUGGUCUGUGCCUCUUCACAGGCACUGGAGUCUUACAGGAAACAAGAAAGCCUAGCACAGUAUUAGGAUGGUGACAGUAUGGAAAACCAGCAGUCAGGGUCCUGGAAAGGAGUGGUGAACUUAGUCCUCCGGCCAGGCAGGCCUGCAGAGGGAGUGUGGGAAAGGUGGGUCUUGAAGGUUGAGCAGGUCAGUAGUCAGAGAGGGAAGCAGCGCUGGGCAGAAGGGGCUGGGACACCUGGUGGAGGAAGGAAUUCCAUGGUGAGGUGGGGGAGGGGACCUCUCCUUGUUCUCCCUGAUGUCUUCCAGGUGGUGCCUGGCUAAUCCUCAGCAGUGCUUGUUGGCUGAUGGCGAGGUAGAACCUAUCUUUUCCCUCAGAGAUUUUGACUGUGUUGGUUUGGAAUAGGAUUUGGGAACUGAUGUAUUUUAAAAGCUCUACAGAUAAUACUAAUGUCCUUCCAGGUUUGGGACCACUGGACUCAAUAAAUGACUCAACAAGUACAGAUGAGAACGUUUGUAUCUGUGGUUUACUGUAGGUCAGAAGCCUUAUUCCUUUAUAUAUAUACAUAUUUCUUUAUUUAUUUACUUGAGAGUCAGAGUUACACACACACACACAGAGAAGGAGAGAGAGAGAGAGAGAGGUCUUCUAUCCAAUGUUUUAUUUCCCACUUGGCCGCAACAACUGGAACUGUGCCGAUCCGAAGCCAGGGGCCAGGAGCUUCUUCCAGGUCCCCCACAUGGGUGCAGGGACACAAGGACUUGGGCCAUCUUCCACUGCUUUCCCAGGUCAUAGCAGAGAACUGGAUCGGAAGUGAAGCAGCCGGGACUCAAACUAGUGCCCAUAUGAGGUGCCGGCACUGUAGGUGGCGGCCUUAUCCACUACACCACAGCGCCGGCCCCAAGGGGCCUUAUUCUUUGAAAAUAUGUUGGAUGAGGGGACCAGCACCAUGGCGCAGUAAGUUAAUCAUCCGCCUGUGGCGCUGGCAUCCCAUAUGGGUGCUGGUUUUAGUCCUGGCUGCCCCUCUUCCAAUCCAGCUCUCUGCUAUGGCCUGGGAAAGCAGUAGAAGAUGGCCUAAGUCCUUGGGCCCCUGCACCUGCAUGGGAGACCUGGAAGAAGCUCCUGACUCCUGGCUUUGGAUCAGCACAGCUCUGGCCACUGCAGCCAUCUGGGGAGUGAACCAGCAGAAGGAAGACCUUUCUCUCUGUCUCUACCUCUAACUGUCUGUAACUCUACUUCUCAAUUAAAUAAAUAAAAAUCUUAAAAAUAAAAUACCUUAGAUGAAAGCACACUAGUAUUUUUCUAUUCCAUAGUGUGUCAGGAGGAGUCAGAAUGUAAAUGUCCUAAGAUUUAUUUAAAAAUAAGCCUAGCAGGUGUACUAAAAUAUUAACAGUAGAACCUAGCUGAUGGGUAUACAGGUGAGUAUAUAAAAUUAUUUCAAUUCAGGGUGGAUAUUUGCCCUAACUUUAUAUAAAUAUAUAUUUUUAAAAACUUAGUGAGGUGUUUAAAAAUACAAAUAGAAAAAGGUUCAUUUGCUUUAAUAUUGUAUCCAAAAAUAUGAGUAGAACCAAAAGUAGAUAAACAUUAUCACAUCUGUUUACAACACCAUCUAGUUCUUCAUAUUAACUUUACUAUUCAAACAAUAGAAAGUUAAGUGGCAACUUAGGGGCUGGGAAAGAUAAAACCAAAAAAAGUUCUCUACCAUGUUUAUUCUUCCACAUUCUGUACAGCUAUGUCCACAGAGCCAGCUUAUUUUCUUCUCUACCAUGCCUAAUUCAGCUGUAUAUAAAAUUUAACCUGGCCGACACUGUGGCUCAGUAGGCUAAUCCUCCACCUGCGGCGCCAGCACCUGGGGUUUGGGGUUCUAGUUCCGGUUGGGGCGCUGGAUUCUGUCCUGGUUGCUCCUCUUCCAGUCCAGCUCUCUGCUGUGGCCCGGGAAGGCAGUGGAGGAUGGCCCAAGUGCCUGGGCCCUGCACCCGCAUGGGAGACCAGGAGAAAGCACCUGGCUCCUGGCUUGGGAUCGGCGCAGCGCCAGCCAUAGGGGCCAUCUGGGGAGUGAACCAAUGGAAGGAAAACCUUUCUGUCUCUAUCUCUAACUCUGCCUGUCAAAAAAAAAAAAAAAAAAAACCUGAUGGGACCAAAGCUGUGGCGUGGUGGGUAAAGCCGCCACCUGCAGUGCCGGCAUCCCAUAUGGGCUCUGGUUUGAGUCCUGGCUGCUCCACUUCCAAUCCAGCUCUCUGCUAUGGCCUGGGAAAGCAAUAUAAGAUGGCCCAAGUCUUUGGGCCCCUGCACUCACGUGGGAGACCCAUAAGAAGUUCCUGGCUCCUGGCUUCAGGUAGGUGCAGCUCCGGCUGUUGUGGCCAACCUGGGAGUGAAUCAGUGGAUGGAAGACCUCUCUCUCUCUCUCUCUGCCUCUCUGUGUAACUCUUUCAAAUAAAUAAAUAAAUCUUUUUUUUAAAGUGUAAUAGGUAAGAAGAUCCAGGUUGAUUACACCCUAGAGUAGGGGGCCAGGUCUGUUGGAUGGACUUGUUGCUGAACUGGUUGCCUCAUCCAAGGCCAGCCAAUCUGUGAGCCACUGUGAGCAGCACCAUACACAUGCUGCUUCCUGCUAAUGCACACCCUGAAAGGAAGCAGACUCCAGGACCCUGCCACUCCUGUGGGUGACCCGAAUUGAAUGCUGAGCUCCUGGCUUUGGCCUGGCCUCGCUCCAGCUGUUGCAGACAUUUGAAGGGUGAACCAAGAGGUGGAAGAUCUAUCUCUGUCUCUCUUUCAAACAAACAAAAAUUUAAAAUUUAAUUUUUUGUUAAUGGCAAAGAUCCUAUUCAUCUGUAUCUCCAACACCUGGCAUGGAACCUGAACUAUAGUCAGACUCAGUAAUGUUUGUUGAAUGAAUAAAGUGACAAGUGGUUGAUUUAAAGGAAGACACGGUUGUCUGGAGCUGAAUGAAGAAAAACCUUGAAUACAGUCCCACUGAAUGAUCUUGAAGCCAGGGGAUUCUCAGGAUUCUCUCAGGAAGACAAGAACCCUGCAUUUUUUCCGGUAACACAAGUACUUGGACUAUCCUCCUCUGCCUUCUCAGGCACUUAGCAGGGAGCUGGAUUGGAAGUACAGCAGCCAGGACUCAAACUGUGCUCCUACAUGGGAUGCUGGUGUCACAGGCAAGGUCUUAACCUGCUGGGCCCCUAAAGAUCUUAUUUUUUUUAAAGAUUUAUUUAUUUAUUAUUUAUCUGAAAGUCAGAGUUACAUACAGAGAGAAAGAGAGGCAGAGAGAGAGGUCUUCCAUCCGCUGGUUCACUCCCCAAUUGGCUGCAAUGGCCAGAGCUGCACCGAUCCGGAGCCAGGAGCCAGGAGCCUCCUCUGAGUCUCCCAUGUGGGUGCAGGGGCCCAUGGACUUGGGCCAUCUUCCACUGCUUUCCCAGGCCAUAGCAGAGAGCUGGAUUGGAAGUGGAGCAGCCGGAACUAGAACCAGCACCCAUAUGGGGCUCUAACCUGCUGCACCACAGUGCCAGCCCUGCUUUGUUUUCUAUUCAUGAAAUGGGCAACAUUUUAUUCCAUAAAAUAGGAUGAGUGUUCUGAUGUGAAGAAAAAAGGAGGUUGGUUUAAUAGACAGAAAUAGGCUGAAUAAAGUAAAAGCAAAAGAAGCAUAAAAGCAGAUUUGUCACGUAAAAGUCACCUUUCUUCUAAGGGGGGAACAGCGUGACAAGAACAAGAAAAUAACUGAUAAAUGUUAAAUGUUAAAUUUCUUAACCUUGACUUGAAAGGAAUGGCCGAGAGCCAAGAGCCACCAUAAGAAUGGCCUUAAUAAAACAGUCCUGGGAAAUGGGGAGUAAGUUCACAGAGACGGCAGAUAGCUACUACCCAGAGAUAAGGGCUACUACCCAGAGAUAAGGGCGACAGAACAUCCUGGUACGCACCUAAGCCCCCUCCCCUGUGCUUGUUCAAGCUUAACAAAGAAACCGCGAGGCACGUAGGGCACGUAGCCACCCCUUUCUGCUCUUCAAGGACCCCCUCCCCAUAUCCAAGCUUAGACAUGUAGGGCACGUAGCCCCCUGUUUCUCCUCCUCCUCGACGACCUCCUCCCCUUGUAGUUGCCCAAUAAACUUACGCCACCCUAUAGUAUGUUAAUUUUGUGGUUUUGCCCUUUAAAAACUGUGUAAAAUGAUUGUUCAGGGCUCCUCUCUCUUGCUCCCUGCUUGCAGCAGUAGAGGGUCCAUUUGCGCAAAUGAAAUAAAAUUGCCUCCUGCCUUUUGCAUCCUCUGGUCUGGAGUCUGUGUUUCUGGGGUCGUCACAAAAGGACACCGCUUUUGGGGUCCUACAGACUGAAGCAGAGGGAGGUUAUGAUCAUAUAAAUUACUAGUCUGUGUAGGAAACUUGUCCGUUACCUCUCUAAUCCUAUUUUCUCAGAAAGUCAGAGAAACAGCCUGGAUUCAACUUGGUGCAACUUUAAUGUCAUUGAUUCCAUUUUGAUUUUCAGCCUGGUCCGUUGGGGUUUCGUGCAGGAACUUUGUUCAAAACAAUGACCUCGUGCAACUUUUACUGAAUAUUAGUAUGAGUUGUUACAGGUUGGCCAGAAAGCAACUUUAAUUUUAGAUUCUAUCAAUAUUAGAGCAAAAAGAAUCUUACUGCUUCAGCUCUGAAGCACAAAAAUUGUAACUUGUUCUGUAAAGUAAAAAUUACAUGAAGUCAUUGUUUUGGAUUGAGCUCCUACACUGGGUCUCAAUAGACCAGGCAAGAAAUCAAAAUGGAGUCACGCAUGCUGAAGUUCAGUAACAGAGCUGGUGUUGUGGAGCUGCGGGUUAAGCCACUGCCUGUAAUGCUGGCAUCCCAUGUGAACGCCCAUAGGAGCUACUCGGCUUCUGAUCUAGCUCCUUGCUAAUGCACUUGGGAAAGCAGCAGCUGAUAGCCCAAGUGCUUGGGCCCCUGCCACCAACAUGUGAAACCCUGAUGGAGUUUCAGGUUCCAGGCUGUUGCAGCCAUUUGAAGAGUGAAAGAGGAUCUUUCAUUUCAUUUCAUCUUUUUCUCCCUCUCUGUAACUCUUCCUUUCAAAUAAGCAAAUAAAUUUUUAAAAAUAAAAAAAUAAAGUUCCAUUUCACCAAGCAAAAACUAAAUUGAUCUCUCAGAAAUCAGGAUUGGAGACAAAACAGGCUAACUUUCCAAACAGACCAGUUUCAACUGUCAUGAUAAUGAAGUUCCCUCUGCUUUAAUUCUUACACAAAAGAAGUAACUUUAUGUUAACAAAUCAGUUAAUUUCCCCAUUAUUCUGUCUUGCUUGCCCUACCUUACAGAGAAAGUAACUAGGAAAUGAGCCAUCUGCUUAUUUAUUUGUUUAUUUGGUUAGCCCAUUGAAUUUUAUUAUGGAAAUAUUUCAUAACAUAUAGAUUUACUGGUCUGGUGCUGUGGCUUAGUAGGUUAAGCCUCCACCUGUGACGCUGACACUCCAUAUGGGCACCGGUUCGUGUCCUGGGUGUUCUACUUCCGAUCCAGCUCUCUGCUAAUGGCCCGGGAAAGCAGUGGAAGAUGGCCUGUUAGGUAGGAAGUCAGAUAUGAGCUUAUAUGUGUGUAACAAUGUCCAGCAUAUGCAUCUACAUCUCAAAGCCAUCCUGACAAUGUUUCAGGGGCAGCCCAGUAUUCGCAUCCUGCCCUGCCCCCUUCUACCUGAUAACCUGCCAGGUGGGGUCCCCACCCCUUCUGCCUGACAAAUCUUCCACAAUCUCCCAGGCGCAGCCCAGUAUCUGCAUUUCAAACACCCUGCUCUGGAUCCCAAUUCUCUAGGGGUCCUGCUCACCCUUCCUCCUGUCUGAUAACAUUUGCAUCCAUAGAGUCCUUUGUUUCAGGAGGAGGGAAAAUUCAGGGAGGAGCUUCUUAACAUUUGCAUAUAUAAAGUCCUUUGUUUCAGACCUUCAAGAAAAAACUCAGAUAGAAGUUUUUCUAUUUACAUCCAAAAAGCCCUUUGUUCCAAGAGGAGCAGAGGUAGGGA